UCUGGUUGAUCCUGCCAGAGGUUACUGCUAUCGGUGUUCGCCUAAGCCAUGCGAGUCAUAUGUUCUUCGUGAACAUGGCGUACUGCUCAGUAACACGUGGAUAACCUGCCCUUGGGUCCGGCAUAACCCCGGGAAACUGGGGAUAAUUCCGGAUAACGCAUAUAUGCUGGAAUGCUUUAUGCGUCAAAUGGAUUCGUCUGCCCAAGGAUGGGUCUGCGGCCUAUCAGGUAGUAGUGGGUGUAAUGUACCUACUAGCCUACAACGGGUACGGGUUGUGAGAGCAAGAGCCCGGAGAUGGAUUCUGAGACAUGAAUCCAGGCCCUACGGGGCGCAGCAGGCGCGAAAACUUUACAAUGCGGGAAACCGUGAUAAGGGGACACCGAGUGCUAGCAUCAUAUGCUGGCUGUCCAGGUGUGUAAAAUACACUUGUUAGCAAGGGCCGGGCAAGACCGGUGCCAGCCGCCGCGGUAACACCGGCGGCCCGAGUGGUGAUCGUGAUUAUUGGGUCUAAAGGGUCCGUAGCCGGUUUGGUCAGUCCUCCGGGAAAUCUGAUAGCUUAACUAUUAGGCUUUCGGGGGAUACUGCCAGACUUGGAACCGGGAGAGGUAAGAGGUACUACAGGGGUAGGAGUGAAAUCUUGUAAUCCCUGUGGGACCACCUGUGGCGAAGGCGUCUUACCAGAACGGGUUCGACGGUGAGGGACGAAAGCUGGGGGCACGAACCGGAUUAGAUACCCGGGUAGUCCCAGCCGUAAACGAUGCUCGCUAGGUGUCAGGCAUGGCGCGACCGUGUCUGGUGCCGCAGGGAAGCCGUGAAGCGAGCCACCUGGGAAGUACGGCCGCAAGGCUGAAACUUAAAGGAAUUGGCGGGGGAGCACAACAACGGGUGGAGCCUGCGGUUUAAUUGGACUCAACGCCGGACAACUCACCGGGGACGACAGCAAUAUGUAGGUCAGGCUGAAGACCUUACCUGAAUCGCUGAGAGGAGGUGCAUGGCCGUCGCCAGUUCGUACUGUGAAGCAUCCUGUUAAGUCAGGCAACGAGCGAGACC
rnacentral:rRNA from 1 species